GCCUAAAGCGUCCGUAGCCUGUUCUAUAAGUUUCCGGUUAAAUCCAUUAGCUCAACUAAUGGGCCGCCGAAAAUACUGUGGAACUAGGGAGUGGGAGAGGUAGACGGUACUCGGUAGGAAGGGGUAAAAUCCUUUGAUCUAUUGAUGACCACCUGUGGCGAAGGCGGUCUACCAGAACACGUUCGACGGUGAGGGAUGAAAGCUGGGGGAGCAAACCGGAUUAGAUACCCGGGUAGUCCCAGCUGUAAACGAUGCAGACUCGGUGAUGCGCUGGCUUGUGGCCAGUGCAGUGCCGCAGGGAAGCCGUUAAGUUUGCCGCCUGGGAAGUACGUACGCAAGUAUGAAACUUAAAGGAAUUGGCGGGGGAGCACCACAAGGGGUGAAGCCUGCGGUUCAAUUGGAGUCAACGCCAGAAAUCUUACCCGAAGAGACAGCAGAAUGAAGGUCAAGCUGGAGACUUUACCAGACAAGCUGAGAAGUGGUGCAUGGCCGUCGCCAGCUCGUGCCGUGAGGUGUCCUGUUAAGUCAAGUAACGAGCGAGAUCCCUGCCUCUAGUUGCCACCAUUACUCUCAGGAGUAGUGGGGCGAAUUAGCGGGACCGCCGCAGUUAAUGCGGAGGAAGGAAGGGGCCACGGCAGGUCAGUAUGCCCCGAA
rnacentral:rRNA from 1 species